GCCUUUUUAGAGAAACUCAAAUCAUGUUGACGCAAUAAUAAAAAGGAAGGAUAUUUCAAAUAGGUUGGAACCUUCAACCUUUAAUAAAGUGGUAAGUAAAAUCGUCUGCACAUGGAUUAUCGUUUUGACGAGAAAAUUAUAUAAACCUAAUAAAAGCAGUAAAUUGGGGGAGUUUGCAAGUUUGUUUUGACUAAACAAAGCAGUUGGAUAGAUUGCAAAAAAAAAAUGAAAUGGGUUUGAUUCAGACUUUUAACGGUGAUUAUGAUUCUUCGAAUUUUUCUAUCUCUUCGUUUGGAUUAAUUUAAAUACAAUUACUUGUUAUGAAAUGAGUUUUCUUAUUUAAGUGGUUAGUUUAGUGGGAUAUAACUUCCCUUGAGAUGUCAUAUUGCUCCUCAAUCAUCCCAAAGGUUAUAUGUGCAAUACGGUGCACAUGGUUGUCAAUCCUCUAGAGUUUCGUACACAGUCAAAUAUUUAUUAAGGUAGGGACUUAUACUCUAAGAGGUAAUUGAAACAUCGCAAAGUUGAAAUUCCAAAUUUUUCGUCUAAAUUAAAUGAACCACUUUUACUUACGAAUCUUAUAAUUUCACCACAUACCCUAAUAGUCCUAAUUGAUUAAACAAAUAAGAAUAACACUAAUUAAUUAGAGAAUG
rnacentral:lncRNA from 1 species